rnacentral:rRNA from 1 species
CCUACGGGUGGCUGCAGUGGGGAAUAUUGGACAAUGGGCGAAAGCCUGAUCCAGCCAUGCCGCGUGUGUGAAGAAGGCCUUCGGGUUGUAAAGCACUUUCAGUGGGGAAGAAAGCCUUGGGGCUAAUACCCUCGAGGAAGGACAUCACCCACAGAAGAAGCACCGGCUAACUCCGUGCCAGCAGCCGCGGUAAUACGGAGUGUGCGAGCGUUAAUCGGAAUUACUGGGCGUAAAGCGCGCGUAGGCGGUCUGAUAAGCCGGUUGUGAAAGCCCCGGGCUCAACCUGGGAACGGCAUCCGGACCUGUCAGGCUAGAGUGAAGGAGAGGAAGGUAGAAUUCCCGGUGUAGCGGUGAAAUGCGUAGAGAUCGGGAGGAAUACCAGUGGCGAAGGCGGCCUUCUGGACUGACACUGACGCUGAGGUGCGAAAGCGUGGGUAGCAAACAGGAUUAGAUACCCCGGUAGUC